rnacentral:rRNA from 1 species
UACGAAGGGUGCAAGCGUUGCUCGGAAUUAUUGGGCGUAAAGGGCAGGUAGGUGGUAAUACAAGUCUGGGGUGAAAUCCCUGAGCUCAACUCAGGACGUGCCUUGGAAACUUUAUUACUAGAGUGCUGGAGAGGUCCGCAGAAUUCCCGGUGUAGCGGUGAAAUGCGUAGAGAUCGGGAGGAAUACCAGAGGCGAAGGCGGCGGACUGGACAGCAACUGACACUCAACUACGAAAGCGUGGGUAGCAAACAGG